UAUGGAUGUGAUGAGUAACUACCGCCCCAGUCUGAAAAAUCAUGACAGAUUGGUUUAACCUCUGAUCCAUA